UUUGGGUCGGCGGUCUGAGGGGCUGUUAUUGUCCUUGCGGACAUGUUUGUGCACGCAGCAGGCUCAAAUACGUAUCAGGCUGGAGAUUAUGUUUAUUGUGAAGUGUCCCCCACAGAUCCAUACCAGGUUCGCAGAAUUGAAGAACUGAAACAGAAUACUGGCAGUGUUGUAGAAGCCAAGAUGACGU